CCUACGGGUGGCAGCAGUGGGGAAUAUUGCACAAUGGGGGAAACCCUGAUGCAGCGACGCCGCGUGAGCGAUGAAGUAUUUCGGUACGUAAAGCUCUAUCAGCAGGGAAGAAAAUGACGGUACCUUACUAACAAGCACUGGCUAACUACGUGCCAGCAGCCGCGGUAAUACGUAGGGGGCGAGCGUUAACCGGAUUUACUGGGAGUAAGGGGAGCGUAGAUGGCAAUGCAAGUCACAGGUGAAAGCCGUGGGCUCAACCCCGGGACUGCAUUUGGAACUGGAUAGCUGGAGUGUCGGAGAGGAUGGCGGAAUUCCUGGUGUAGGGGUGAAAUCCGUAGAUAUCAGGAGGAACACCAGUGGCGAAGGCGACCUGCUGGACGAUGACUGACGUUGAGGCGCGAAAGCGUGGGUAGCAAACAGGAUUAGAUACCCGAGUAGUC
rnacentral:rRNA from 1 species